rnacentral:rRNA from 1 species
GUGAAUCAUCGAGUCUUUGAACGCACAUUGCGCCCCUCGGUAUUCCGGGGGGCAUGCCUGUUCGAGCGUCACAAAAAAGCAAAUCGGGCCCCGUAUGUAGUGUACGGUGCCGCCCGACGUUGGGCGAUUGGGCCGCCGCACUUGUAUCCUUAACUGGCAUAUUUCUCUGCGGCCCCGCCUCAAAUACAAUGGCAGCGGCGCGGAGCCCCGAGCGUACCAGGACUUGUAACGAGUUUUCGCUCCGUGGGCCACCGUGCUCCGCAAUCGCCCCGCAACGAACCCCCUUUGGGGCGCCCCUAAGAAAGGCGCGACAAGAUUGACCUCGGAUCAGGUAGGGAUACCCGCUGAACUUAA